rnacentral:lncRNA from 1 species
AAAGUUUUUAUUAUUAAAAUAAAUAAAUAAAUAAUCAAAUUAGUAAUGUAACAAUAUUCAACUCAAAACCUAAAGAAUACUUUAGUUGUCAUUUUGAAUUGCUCAGUUUCCUCUUUUAUUGCCGAGUUCAGUUGCAUCAUUGACUCUCUCUCUCUCUCUCAAAUCUCUAUUCACACCCUCUUUGUUUCAUUGAAAUGUAUAUGGAUGGCCAUAGGAGUUGGACUCUUCAUUGAUUCAGAUCCAUU